AUUUCAUAAUAGAAUAAACCAGUAUCUCCACCAUGAAUAUAUCCAAUUCAGGGUCCUGUAAGUGACCACCAAUGUCACAGUAUUUCCAACUCUUGCUGCAUCAUUCAUAUAGCAACAGUGCACUUGCAUAUACAGUUUUGCUGUCUCAAAUAGAUAUAAAUUCAAAUACCACCAUGGCAUAUUUUUGGAUAAAAGAAAAGCACUGCUAAAGGACACAGACCUUUCACACUUUAAGAGGUUUCCAGCUUAAUGUGAUAAAGUUUAUCCCUUCCCUACUGACCUCUUUAAUACCUACCAUAAUCUUUCUGUGCAAAGAAUGUGUCUGCAAAAUUUUUUAUCUUAGAAAACAUCUCUGAAUAAAUGCUUUUCUUUCCACAGAUGAACACUUUGAAUUUGAUUGUGACAGGUGACUGGAGACACAAACAUGAGAAAUUUUAAGAUGGUUUUUGUGAGCCUUUGUAUUACUAAUUUGUAUAUAAAAACUUAUUCCAUACUCAAUUUUUAUCUAUCAUAUUUCUCUCUAUAUAUAUGCAUAUAAAAAUAUAAUAAUAUUUUCCAAGCAUUAAAUUAAUAUUGAAAUAUAAGACUGUAUGAAGUUUAGGAGUAAUAUUUUUUUUUCCAGAUUGUAUUGUCACAUAUCCAUCUGCACUGAUUCUGCUAGUAAGUGCUUGAAGGAGAAGAAUACUCCUGUUUGGAGCUGAUUAAUGCUCCAUGUUGCAAACCAGACAUUGCUGAAUGACAGAAGGCUUUCCCUCCCUGUGACCAGACAGAAAAUUCUGCCUGCAUGAGAAAAUGUUGGCUAUUUUAUUUCUCCUGAAAACAGAGAUCCCCCUUGCACAUCUCCUGUGCAGACAUUGAACAGAUCCAACCCUGCUGAGGGAACAGCAUAACUCUAAUUCCAACACCGGAAUGGCUACUGGACGAGCUGCUGGGCACAUGCUGAGCGAAGUUUCACUUGGCUACCAAGAAAAAAGGAAGAGAGGACAAACUCCAGUACGGUUUAUUGCAGUCAAAUAACUUUAAGGCUGCAUUUUGAUGCAAACUCUGAACUGGGACGCUGUGACACCAUCUGUGAAGGGAGCUGUCCUGCUUGCCCCCUGCUACCCACUUUGGUGCCUGAAGUCAGCCGCUCAUGGUGGUCGGGGACAGAACUGGCUUGGGAAAACGGUGUGCCUGGAAAACAAUCCCUUUGUUGUUUACUGGGGUACUUUGCAGGCAGAUCACUUUACUCAUCUGCUCCCCUGGAAGGGUUCAGAAAUGUUUGUCCUGGCACACAGGCAGCAGAGGAGGUGGGGGAGACAGGGUUGUUGCUCCCCACACGCACGGCCAGUUUAACAUACUUGCACCACAGUCCAAAUAAAAACCCAAACCGCAUGCUGGGCACAAAUGAGAACUUGGGAUUGUGUUUCUGCACUUUUCCCUUCCUGCCUUGCUUGGCUCCCAGUGUUGCAAAUCGCUGGCGUGUGCCAUUGAAGUGGAUGCACAGAUUUCCCCGCUUUGCCGAGCUCCGGGAACGCCAGGGCACACCAGCCCUAACUGGGUCAGAGACUUUCUUUGUACAAGUGAGCUGAGCUGCUGGGAAACCUCGCAGAGCCAUGAAGCAGCUUCUCACACAUGCAGUGGGGGGGACGGGGUGAGGAGGGGGAGUGGAUGAAGUGGGGCUCAGCUUCCACCACACUUGAUUCCCUGCCAGCAUAAGCUUCCUUCCAGGGCUUACAGGCACGGCACAAGCCCGAGUAAAGCCCCAGCUGCUCCCACGGCUGCCAGGGCUAAGCACCCUGGAAUCAGAGCACGGCCACCAAGCCCAGCAUC